rnacentral:rRNA from 1 species
UUAAAUUGAAGAGUUUGAUCAUGGCUCAGAUUGAACGCUGGCGGCAGGCCUAACACAUGCAAGUCGAACGGUAACAGGAAGAAGCUUGCUUCUUUGCUGACGAGUGGCGGACGGGUGAGUAAUGUCUGGGAAACUGCCUGAUGGAGGGGGAUAA